GGCGGCUGUGGUGGAGAGGAUUGUGGAGCUCAUUGAGGAGCUUCCUCCUAACUCUCCACCCGGCGCCGUCCUGGCCAACUCCCUCAUUGCUGUGGCCAACCUCAGCACCAUGACACCUGCCCUGAAGCCGGAGCUGGAGACCCACCUCCUCCGAGCCACCCUGCAUGCCGUCUUCACCCUGGGCACGCAGACGGACACCAACCAAGUCCAGGAUCUGCAUAGGGUCAUACCAGACCUUCUGGACGCCAUGCUGGGGAACCUGCUGGCAAAGAGCCCAGACACUG